CCUGAGAAACGGCUNNCACAUCCAAGGAUGGCAGCGGGCGCGCAAAUUACCCAAUCCCGACACGGGGAGGUAGUGACAAUAAAUAACAAUACGGGGUUCUUUAGGAUCUCGUAAUUGGAAUGAGUACAAUUUAAAUCUCUUAACGAGGAACAAUUGGAGGGCAAGUCUGGUGCCAGCAGCCGCGGUAAUUCCAGCUCCAAUAGCGUAUAUUAAAGUUGUUGCAGUUAAAAAGCUCGUAGUUGAAUUUCGGGGUUAGUAGGUUGGUCAUGCCUCUGGUAUGUACUGGUCUCACUGAUUCCUCCUUCCUUAUGAACCGUAAUGCCAUUAAUUUGGUGUUGCGGGGAAUUUGGACUGUUACUUUGAAAAAAUUAGAGUGUUUAAAGCAAGCUAACGCUUGAAUACAUUAGCAUGGAAUAAUGAAAUAGGACGUUCGAUCUUAUUUUGUUGGUUUCUAGGAUUGACGUAAUGAUUAAUAGGGAUAGUUGGGGGCGUUAGUAUUCAAUUGUCAGAGGUGAAAUUCUUGGAUUUAUUGAAGACUAACUACUGCGAAAGCAUUUGCCAAGGAUGUUUUCAUUAAUCAAGAACGAAAGUUAGGGGAUCGAAGACGAUCAGAUACCGUCGUAGUCUUAACCAUAAACUAUGCCGACUAGGGAUCGGAUGA
rnacentral:rRNA from 1 species